rnacentral:lncRNA from 1 species
GAGAAAAAAGAAACUGUUAAUAGAAUACUGCUUGUAAUUGCACCGAUAGGAAGACAUAUUGAUCAAGAAAUAGUGAGAAGAAUAGAUGCAACUUACAAGUGGGUAGAGUAUAGUCAUAACUCCAUAGCUAACCAGAGGAGAAAAAGAAUACAGCUAGAAUACAAGGGGAUCCUAAAAGACAAUUAUAAAAAUACAAACGAAUAAUCAAUAAUGCAUCUCAAAAAAACAACAAAAGACUAAAAUAAAUGUAUUCUAAUUGCUUUGAAUUUCAAAGCAUCCCUCACAAAUUAAAAAAUUUUCUUCUGCCAAAAGGCUUCAGCUCCGUGUAUUCAUCAAAUAAAAUCUUCCUUGUUUGCUAUGAGAGACUGCAUAGUGGCUUCAGUGACUAAGAGCAUUAGUACUUUCACAUCUUUUGUCAAUAAAAAAAACUUUCAUUUAAUAGAAACUAUUCGCAUAAAAGUUUGACAACCUCAACCAUUCAGCCGUGUACAAACCAAACUACCAAUGCAGGCGAAGGAUAUAGAAAACAAAAAACAAUGAUCAUCCAUAUGACGCAGGUAAUAAUUUACUUAAUCACCAACAAAUCUGACUGAGAAAUCCAAAUUACCGUGCAAGCAUUAGAAAGGGAAGAACACACACCAAGACCUAUUUAUACACAAAGACAGAGAAUCAACGCCUAAAGCCCCACUACCUUUAAUAAUAUUUUGUCUAGGAAUAUCAUCCGGAAUUAGACUUCUUAUAGCAUAUCACAAAAUAAAAGAGGCGUGCAGGGGAAUUUUUUAUUGGGGGCGGGAAAGGGGAGAGGAAAAAGAGGAACAAGCUGGGGCAACAGGAAUGCGGUAGUUUCAAGUUGAAAAUACACAGUUCAAUGACAUUCUAGUAAUUGUAAACAUGUUAAUAGUAUCAUCAAAUAAACUAUAUGUAGUUUUCUGGAGUGAAAUUUCUAAAGGAGAAUUUGAACUCCAAUUAGAUUUUAGCAAUAUGUAUUGAAACAAAAGGAAAAUAAAAAACAAAAUUUUACCAAAACCAGCAAAAGAAUCCAGUUUGAUUCAAAAAGUCCAGCCUCUAGUCCAAACUCAAAUCCGAAAGAUUCCAUUCAUAUCUAAGAAACAUAAUAUUAAGGACACGAUCUUUUAUCUAAAUUACAGCAGAUAGGACACAACAAAUAAAUAUUAAAAUUCCACCACGUACUCAAAACAAUAGUAAGCAUACAUCCACGAAAGUCGCAAAAAAUUUACUGCCUUUCCAAUAUAGGGAAUAAAUCCAAUAACAUAAACUUGUAGGCAACCUAGAAGGCAAGAGCUAAUUAUCAUUAAAUCACAAGAAUUGAGAACUUUAUCUUCUUGAAAUAUUAAAAUCUAUUUCACCUGGAAGAAGAAACUUAAUAGGAGUACUGAGCAGACAAAAUCUUCAUCAUUUGCACUUGCAAAACCAGAAAAAUACAUUUUUAACAAAAAUAAAUUCAUAAAAGAAUAGAAAAGAAGAAAAUUUGAAAAAUAGAAACCCAAGGCUAAGAAAUAUGUGCAUGUCACCAUUUAAUUUGAGAGCAAGAAGAAGAAACACCAACAUCAUAACAAUCCCUAAAUGUUCCGGAACACUUGACUCACAUUUCAUGUUCAGUCAACCUCUCUUGGUCCUAGCAGUAUGCAACAAAAUUAGCAAAGGCUACAACAACACAUUAAGGAUCUUACCAGGAGUGAACAAGGGACAACUUAAUUCAAAUUUUAGGUUGUCUAUGAUGUGGUGAUUGACAUGACGAUAUGCCCCUUGUAUCCAAUGCUCUUUGCAAUUAGGAACACCUAAGAAAGUGCUUAAAAUGUUAAAUUUGCACCUAAAAAAAAAGGACUUGGGAAAGUGCAACACUCACAAGUGUGUCCGCAGGGAAAUUAUCUUGUGUAAGAUGAAACAAUAAGACACAUGGCGCCUAUUUAGCACAAAAGUUUAUUAAAUCCAUCGACAAACACCAGUCCACAUAAUUAUUUCUUGAAAGGUUUGGAUUACGAGCUAUAUUAUAAACCAAGUACUUUUAUACCAUUAUGGUCCAUUUUUCUCCACAAAUUCGAGUUCUAUGGACCUUACGGGUGAAUACACAACUUCACAAGCACAUCUUUGUUCAAAAUCCAUUAGUUCUAAGAAGAAGAGACAUUAUCACUUGUAGAGCAGCAUGAACCGCAUCAUUAGUAUAUGCCUUCUUCUUACCUUUAUAGCUUAUAAUAGUUGAUAAAGUAUAUAACUUUUAGCUAUCCACUUGAAAAACAGAGGGACUUGCUUAGGGAAACAAAAAACAUAUAUAACAAAAUUAAAGAAAAAUACAUGGCUGACAGCUAAAAUCUAAUUAAAUUAGACAAAGGAGAGAGAGAUCAAAAGACCCCAAAUAUCCCAAUAUGCACACAAUAAAAUGCAGUAUAGCCCCAAUCUUCUAGACUCGUGGGAAAGUAUCAUAACUCCUAAAAUAAGAUUUCGACAUCUUUUUUGUUAUUUUGGCUUCAAAAAAUUCUGUAAAAAAAUUUCACCAUUUUAACAGAUGAAGAAACUGUAAAGAUCAACAAACAAUUAAAUUGCAAAAUGAACUAACUGUAAUUUCUCGUGACCCCUCUCUCUUUCUGGACCCAGCACAAUCACAAAAAACAACCGGUAAAAUCAAAAUAACCAUCAAGUGAUAAUUGGAGACUAAAACUAUAAGGAAAAAAAAUAAAGAAUCACAGCCAAGAAAAAUAUACACAAUAAUAGAAAACAAAACCUUAGAAGUCACCUGAUUACCAUGCACAAGUUUGAUUUAGUCAAAGUGAGUGCGUCAGUGAAAGCUCAACUGCAAAGGAAAACAAAAAAUUUUAGAGAAAGAAAAAUCAACCAAUAAGUUUGCUGAUAUUCUCUUGAGAGCUUUAGCUCAUAGAGAGGGCAUUUAGAAAAAAAAAAAAAAAAGGAAUAGAUUUGCAGGUGCCUGAAAAAAAGAGAAAAAAAAAAGAGUAGCAAAUGUUGGGUGUUCGAGUGUUGUUUAUCUGUUCUAAAAUGAUUCUUUAGAGAGGACAAAACUAAUUACAUAGUAAGAGAAAAGAACACAAAAGUUCAAGAAAAUAACAUGCCUUCAAUCGAAUUUCUAAUAUCUGGGCAUAGCGAAUUUUGAUGCAGACCAUCUAUAUUAAAAUUGGGGGUGUAAAGAAGAUGUCUUUGGGACGAGUAUUAGAGCAGAUGGGUUCGAGGAAUCAUGCGCGGAAAGGGGAAAGAAAGGAUUUUUAAUAUGGUUGAGUAAUCUGAAGAAAAAAUUAUAAUUGAUUAACUUGAAGUAAAAUAAAUGUUUGCCUCCCAUUCACUGUUAUCACCUUGAUCAAUGGAGAGUAAUGGAGCUGGAGAGCCACGAAGAGGAAGAUCUGGACAGCAGCGAAUCAAGGAAAGGGAAGAAGUAAAAAUGAGAGAGAAGGAAAGGAGAAAGAAACCGAGAAGAAGGAUUAGAUAGGAAGGCGCAGAAGAGAUUUUCGGGCAGCAGUUUCAGAAACCCUAUCUAUUGAAUGCGGAGGUGAGAUUUCAAUUUUGUCCUCAAUUCAAUUCAUCAUCUCAAUCAGUUGAGGACUACCAUCAAUCAGUCAAGUCAAUGGAAGAGUGCCACGUCAGCAAUUGAAAAUCAAUUGAAACUUCUUGCAUUCCCACGUAGACUUAUGUUUGGAUAGUGUAUUAUUUGAAAUAUUAUUUGAAAUAAUUACUGUAGCACUUUUUGUG